GAGCAGUUUUAUUGAUUUAUUUUGAACAGAAAAGCUGUUCGAUUUAUAAAAAAUUAGUAGUUUUUUGGGGAAUCCUGUUUCCGACCCGCAUAGUAUGUGGCGGGAUGUACUCUUUCUAAAGAAGAAGAAGAAGAAGAAGAAGCUGCUGCUGCUACCGGAAAUGAGUAUUUGCUUGCGAUCAGUUCAAUUUGAGCAUGGCAAUGAGAGCAUUUCCACGAGUUCGACUGAUUUGAGAUUCAUACAUGCUUAACGUUAAUAUGGAUGGCGGGACAUACUCAUCUUGCUCCUCUCCUUUGAUGCUGAAAACAGCACUUUGACUGAUCUUCAUGUGAGCACGGGCGCAGAAGAAAAGCUAGAGCAGACAAGUUUUUGUAUCUCUGGCGAGUUGAUUUGCAUCUAAAAGCACCAGAAUCGCUUUGGCGGGCCGCCUGCCUGUUGAGUGCUAAUUGGGGAUUGUGAGAAAUUUUGAAGAGUAACCAGCUGGCAAGUCAUCAUUUACCAAACUGACUAUUGCCUUGUUUACCACGUGGAAAAAUGAGUCCAGAGAGGAAAACGCUGUUGGAUGACAUAGCACUGAGUUUAUGGACUUUAACCGAGGAUCAUUUACGUUAUCUAUGCGAGCGGUGUGGAAUAUGUGGCCGAGAUGGGUCUGAAGGCAAAGGAGAGAGUAGACGCUCACUGCGUCGUAAAAUAAUGGAGGAAUAUUGUGAGAGUGCUGAUUUAACAGAAUCUGAGGAACAAGGAAUGUCUCGGUUACUACAACUGAAAGAAGACAUCACCGGAAUAGAAGAGGCUAGCGUUGUCCCCACGGGUCCCAGCCAAUCAGCGACAGCGGGCAGCUCACAAGCAUGUUGCCAUGGAGAACAGAAUGAAGAGGGAGGGGGUUGGUUUCCCAGCAGGAAGCUGGAGGCAGAGCCAGUUCCACACUGGCUCAUUAUACCACAGUCUGAGACCAAAUGUACAGAGUCACUGGGUCCUGGUUGUGACGGUGGGCAGCAUGCCCCAGAGAUGGCGUCUUGGCAGACUCUAAAGAGGUUAACCGUGCUGCUGGAGGACUGCAGGUUUAUACCGGGCCAGAGAGUCAACAUCAAAGUAGAAGAGGAGGAGGAGAUGAUUUCUGUCUUUGCUGAUGACGGAAAGAGCCCAAGACCCCCAAAAGAGUCCCCAAGACCCCCAAAAGAGUCCCCAAGACCCCCAAAAGAGUCCCCAAGACCCCCAAAAGAGUCCCCAAGACUCCAAAAAGAGAGAUCUCACAGUUCUCAACGUGAGAAGAGCUUCACAAAACAGUCACGUCUUAAACGGCACCUGCACUCUGGAGAGACGCCUCCCCACUGUUCGGGUAGCAAAGAAAGUGUCUCUACUGUGACAUUGUCAAAGAUAGCCAAGACAGUCCAUCCUAAAGAGAAGUGUCAGAACUGCUCUGACUGCGGCAGAAGUUUCUCUUUGACAGGAUGUAUCAGGAAACGCAUGCCGUUGUUCCAUUCAGGAGAGAAACCCUUCCACUGCCUGGAGUGUAGUAAGAAGUACACUAGAUCAGAUCAGUUGAAAGAUCAUAUGGUUAUAUGCUCUGGUGUGAGACCUUACCAAUGCCCUGACUGUGAAAAACAAUGUCAGGAAGUAUCACAUGCUGUAGUAAAAAGUUCUGAUCCUAAUCACGUGUUAGUACAUUCUGGAGAGAAAUUGUGUCAAUACCCUUACCGUGAGAAGACCUGCACAGCAUCAGACCAUACUCAACAGCUGUACACACACACUGGAGAGACUCCUUACCGUUGUUCAGAUUGUAAUUCAUAUUUCGUUAAUGCAUUACAAUUUAAGAGACAUAAGCAAGAGCACACUGGAGAGAAGCCUCACCUCUGCUCCAAAUGUGAUCUUUGUUUCUUUAUAGAAGAGGACUUAAAAGCACAUGAGGCGAUUCACACAGAGAAGCUUCACCCCUGUUCUGACUGUGGGCAAAAAUUUUCUACAGCGCGGUAUUUAACUAAACACAAGCGGAUACAUUUAGGGAUUAAGCCUUUCUGUUGCACGCAAUGUGACAAGGGGUACACCAAUUCAGAUCAGCUAAAAGUUCAUACGAUGACGCAUACUGGGGAGCGACCGUACCAAUGUGGUCAAUGUAAGAAGAGUUUUAAAACCAAGCCGCAUCUUAAAUACCACCUGUUAAUUCACGAGGUAGGGAUGUUUCACCACUGCCCCGACUGUGAUCAAAGGUUCUCUGCUGAGGAAACUUUAAAGGAACACAUGCAGUUACACAUGGGAGAGAAACCUUUCCACUGUCUGCAAUGUGAGAAGAGGUACAGUACUUCAGAUGGAUUGAAAGAACAUAUGAUGACUCACACUGAUUCUGAUGGGUCACCAAGUACCAGAAAUGUAGGAGAACAAUGUCAGGAAAUACAUGCCGUCGAAAAACGUUUAAAUAUUAAUCAACGCCUGCAGGAACAUUCUGUAGAGAACCCUCACCCUCAUCCGUGUCCUCACUGUGAGAAGGGUUUCUCAAAACAAUCGUAUCUUAAAGAACACUUGCUUUUACAUGCUUGCGAGAUAACUUCUCGUACACUGGUAAGGUAUCCGACUUCCAGAAGAUUAAAAGAUCAUAGGGCAAACUCGCAUAUAGAAAGGCCCUGUAUUUGUUCUGACUGUGGAAAGAGCUUUGCUCAACUACGCAGUCUUACUAGGCACCAGCAAAUACACACGGGGGAAAAGCCUCACCAGUGCCCCAUCUGUGAGAAGAGUUUCUACAGAAAAUCUAAUCUUCAACAACACUUGGCAGUACAUGCUGGCAAGAAACCUUACCAGUGCUCUCAUUGUGAGAAGAGUUUCUCAAGACAAUUACAACUUAAGAUACAUAUGUACUCACACACUGGAGAGCAAACUUACCAUUGUGCCGUUUGUAAUUCAUAUUUCCUUUAUGCGUUACAAUUCAAGAGACAUAUGCAAGAGCACACUGGAGAGAAGCCUCACCUCUGCUCUGACUGUGGUCUGACCUUCCUUAUCGAAGAGGACUUAAAAGCACAUGAAAGAAUUCACAGGGGAGAGAAGCCUCAUCACUGCUCUGACUGUGGGCGAAAUUUCUCCUCGGCGGGAUGCUUAAAUCAACACAAGCUCUUACAUCUGGGACACAAAUCUUUCCAAUGUGAGCAAUGUGAUAAGAAGUUCUCAAGAUCAAUUCAGUUGAAAGUUCAUAUGUCAAGACAUACCGGAGAGAAACCAUAUCAAUGUUCUGAAUGUGAUAAAAGUUAUUGCCUUUCCAACCUCUUACAAAAACAUCGGAGUAUAACGCACAUGGGAGAAAAACCUUACCUUUGCUCUGACUGUGGAAAGUGUUUUGGUUACCGACACCAACUUGUAGUCCACCAGCGAAUGCACACGGGGGAAAAGCCCUUUGUCUGCUCUGAGUGUGGGAAACAGUAUUCCAAUACAUGUGGCUUGAAGAUACAUCAGCGAACACAUACCGGAGAGAAACCGUACCAAUGUCCCGACUGCGAUCAAUGUUUCAUCCGGGUAGAUUCCCUUAAACACCAUCAAUCAUCGACGCAUACAGGGAAGUGGCCUUUCAACUGCAUUAUUUGUGGAAAAGGUUUUUCGUCGAGCUGUGAGCUAAAAGGCCACAUGCGCAGUCAUAGUGGCGAUAAGCCUUAUCAAUGCCCUGUCUGUGAGAAGCGUUUCACGCUCGCGGGAACCUGUCGAAAGCACCAGAAAACUCACACCGUGAGAGAGAAACCUCACGCCUGUUCUGAAUGCGAAAAGAGUUUUGUAAAUGUACAAAGACUAAAGGUACACAAGAGAGUACAUACUGGUGAGAAGCCAUACCACUGCUCCGACUGUGGGAAGAACUUCACUCAAUUGACAAGCUUAAAUAGGCACAAGGUCAAACAACACAAGGAUAUAGAAAAAAAGCAGACUGCCCCCUGAGUGGCGCAGUGGUCUAAGGUACUGCAUCGCAGUGCUAGCUGUGCCACUAGAUAUUCUGGGUUCGAGUCCAGGCUCUGUCGUGACCGGGAGACCCGUUGGCCAAGUGUCGUUGGGGUUGAGGGGGGGGUUUAGCCGGCAGGGAUAUCCUUGUACCAUCGUGCCCUAGCGACUCCUGUGGCGGGCCGGGCGCAGUGCAUGCUGACAUGGUCGCCUGGUGUACGGUGUUUCCUCCGACACAUUGGUGCGGCUGACUUCUGGGUCAUGUGGGCAUUGUGUCAAGAAGCAGUGCGGCUCUCGGCCUUCGCCUCUCCUGAGUCUGUACAGGAGUUGCAGCGAUGAGACAAGACUAACUACCAAUUGGGGACAAAGAGGGGUAACAAAAAAUGGGGGGAGACUGAACAUGGCCAAGGAAAGUAUCACUGUACUGCUACCAUCCAGUUCCUUCAAAGUCCCACUCCUUGACUUUUUCCACAUUUUGUGUUACAGCCUGAAUUUUUAAAAUUGAUUAAAUUGAGAUUUUUUUUGACACUGGCUCCAUGUCAGUGGAAUUAUGCUUUGGUAAAAAUGUUGCAUUCAUUAAACUUGAAAAGCUGAAAUGUCUUGAGUCGAUCAUAUUCAAUCCCCUUUUUGUUAUGGCAAGUCUCUAUAAGUUCAGGAGGAAAACUGUGCUGAAGUUUGCAUGGACUCACAUUGUGUGCAAUAAUAAGUGUUUAACCUGUGUUUGGAAUGACUGCCUCGUCUCUCUCUUCCCCCCCCACAUACAAUUAUCUUUAAGGUCCCUUUUGUCAAGCAGUGAAUUUCAAACACAAAUUCAACAACGAAGACCAGGGAGGUUGAUCUAUUGAUGGAUGGGGGAAAAAAGCAGACAUUUUUGAGCAUGGUGAAGUAUCAGUACACCCAGUCCACUAUGAAGUGGUAGGUGUCCUUCCUAGCUCAGUUGCCGGAGAGGAAGAGAACCGCUCUGGGAUUUCACCAUGAGGCCAACGGUGACUUUAAAACCGUUACAUAGUUUAGUGGCUGUAAUAGCAGAAAACUGAGGAUGGAUCAACAUUGUAGUUACUCCACAAUACUAACCUAAAUGACAGUAAAAGGAAGGAAUCCUGUACAGAGUUAAACAUAUUCCCGAAACAUGCAUCCUGUUUGCAACAAUGCACUCUAGAAAUACUUCCAAAAAUGUGGCAAAGCAAUUAACAUUCUGUCAUGAUUUUCAAUACGACACAUUACUGAGUACCACUCUCCAAGCAUAGUGGUGGCUGUAUCAUGUUAUGGGUAUGCUUGUAAUUGUUAAGGAUGGGAGUUUUUCAGGAUUAAAAAAUAAAUAUACGGAAUGGAGCCAAGCAAAACCCUUUAUGAAAACCUGGUUCAGUCUGCUUUCCAACAGACACUGGGAGAUGAAUUCACCUUUCAGCAGGACAAUAACCUACAACACAAGGUCAAAUAUACACUGGAGUUGCUUACCAAGAAGUCAGUGAAAAUUCCUGAGUGGAAUUUGACAAGAUCUGAAAAAUGGUUGUCAUGCAAUGCUCAACAACCAAUUUGACAAGAGCUUGAAGAGUUUUGAGGCAAAUGUUGAACAAUCCAGGGGUGGAGUUACACAGAACGACUCACAGUUGUAAUUGCUGCAAAAGGUACUAAUACAAAGUAUUGACUCGGGUGUGAAAUAUUUUUACGUAAUUUGAUAUUUUUGUAUAUAAUUUUUCAGUAAAUUUGCUUGCAUUUCCAAUGCCAUGUUUUCACCUUCACAUUUAUGUGUGUAGAUGGGUGGGGAAAUGUAUUCAAUCUGUUUAAAAAAUGUAGGCUUUAACAAAAUGUGGUAUAAGUCAUGGGGUAUGAAUACUUUCUGACGGUACUCGAUAUAGACUUCUACUUCGCUACCUUGUUUACAGUACCUUUGGUACUACCUAACCUGCACACCAACCAUGUUGUUUUGUAUGCUAUUGCUCCCAUGGUUGACGAGGCUGUAUCUGAACUACAGGGAAAUGUUUUGACCUGAAAUUAGUAUUGAAUGUAGGUCAAACAAAGUAUACUGUAUGUUCUUCUAUAGUGUGCAUGCAAAUGUACUUUGGAUGGUGCCCAUAUUGAUUUGUGUCUCUGCUUACAAAUAUUGGGGCAUCUGGAUAAGUGAAAAUCUGUCUUUCAAUAUAAAGCAUAUUGAUGAGUUAAACAGAGAAUAUAUUUUUUUAUAAGUAGGUCAUGCCUUUCACUAAAUAGUUAGAAAUCGUUCAGUCGACGUUCCUACCGGUCUUAGACUAUGGCAACAUCCUCUAUAUGAACACAGCUGCCACUUCAUUAAAGCCCUGAGAUGCAGUUUAUCUUUAGCACAUUCCUUUAUUACGGGCGACAGGUUUAAUACUCAUCACUGCGUUCUCUACCAGAAAGUUGCUUGGUCCUCUGAUGGUCACGUAGGUUGAUACAUUGCUAUGUUUUAAUUUGUAAAGUCCCUUUUUUUUUUUUUUUUACAAAAAAGUCCCACUGUGCCAAACACUAACCUUAAGACCUACAGAGUUAUUUAACCCAGUCUCCGGGAUGGUUAACUCUGGGUAUUCCUUUGGUCUCUACAGCUUUCCUAUUUCUAUUUGUGGAUAAAAAGUGUAGUUAAGAUGCUGUAGUCUGCAUUAAAAAAAGGAGAAUAUAUAAUGCUUUAACUAUACGAUGUAACAACGAUUAGCUCCACGACGUGAUGAUGAGUUACAGGACUCAUUUCACCUACAAGCUCGACUGUAUUUAGUCUAACCCCUUCAGAACGCAGUAUUUAACUUUUUUUUGGGGGGGGGGGGGCUUCUUCUUCUUCAAUUGAUAACAACGAUGAUUUGGCUAAGCUAAAUUAUUUCCACCUGCCCUACUGCUACAUUAAAGAAUAACAAUAAAAGGUAGAGCUUCAAUGUAACAAGGUUGUUUUUAGCAUUAUUUGCCUCAUUGUUCUAUUUUAUAGAUAUAUUUUGAAGGACUGAAAUCUGUUUUGACCCAUUUUGGAACUUGAUUUAAUUGUACGUGUUCUGUAGCCUGGCGACCAGUCUGCUGUCAUGCCGUUCGCUGUCAUAUGCCAAACAUGCUAGCAGAAACAGACUGGCACCCAGGCUUCAUGUUCUGCACUUAUUAUUAUUAUUUUUAAAUGUGUGUUUUAUGCCGGCCCUAUAUGAACAUUUUUAAAACAAUUCAGCUACAGAUGUGGAAUCACUGCAUUUUUAAAAAAUCAAAAUAUACACUACCGUUAAAAAGUUGAGUCAUAAAUGUCCUUGUUUUUGAAAUAAAGAGAAUUGUUCAGUUAAUCACAUAAAAUUGAUCAGAAAUGGUGUAGACAUUGUUGUAAAUUACUAUUGUAGCUGGAAAGGGCUGAUUUUUUUGGGGGGGGAUUUUUUUUUUUUAAAUGGAAAAUCUACAUACGUGUACAGAGGCCCAUUAUCAGCAACUAUCACUCCUGUGUUCCAAUGGCAUGUUGUGUUAGCUAAUCCAAGUUUAUCAUUUUAAAAUGGCUAAUUGAUCAUUAGAAAACCCUUUUACAAUUGUUAGCACAGCUGAAAAUUGUUCUGGUUUAAAGAAGCAAUAAAACUGCCCUUCUUUAGUCUA